GGAAGUAAAAGUCGUAACAAGGUUUCCGUAGGUGAACCUGCGGAAGGAUCAUUACAGAGUUCAUGCCUUCGGGGUAGACCUCCCACCCUUGUGUAUUUAUACCUUUGUUGCUUUGGCAGGCCGCGAGGCUUCGGCCCCGCUACCGGCCCCGGCUGGUACGUGCCUGCCAGAGGACCCCAAACUCUGAAUUAUUAAUGUUGUCUGAGUAUUAUAUAAUAGUUAAAACUUUCAACAACGGAUCUCUUGGUUCUGGCAUCGAUGAAGAACGCAGCGAAAUGCGAUAAGUAAUGUGAAUUGCAGAAUUCAGUGAAUCAUCGAAUCUUUGAACGCACAUUGCGCCCCUUGGUAUUCCGGGGGGCAUGCCUGUUCGAGCGUCAUUACAACCCUCAAGCUCUGCUUGGUAUUGGGACUCGCUGCGAAAGCGGCGGACCUUAAAAUCAGUGGCGGUGCAUCUGGCUCUAAGCGUAGUAAUACUUCUCGCUAUAGGGUCCGGUGGAUGCUUGCCAGCAACCCCUAAUUUCUAUGGUUGACCUCGGAUCAGGUAGGGAUACCCGCUGAACUUAAGCAUAUCAAUAAGCGGAGGA
rnacentral:rRNA from 1 species